rnacentral:lncRNA from 1 species
UCACGUUUCACCCAUUUCACUAGACCAGUGGUUCUCACACUUUAGAGUGCCUCAGAGUCACCUACAGGGCUUGUUAAACCACAGAUUGCAGGGGUACCUAAGCCCAGAAUUUCUGAUUUGGUAGGUCUGGAGUAGGUCCUGAUAAUCUGCUUUUCUAACAGGUUGUCGGGUGAUGCUGAUUGUGCUAGUCCUAGGAACAUCUUAAUAACUACGUCGCCUUAUUAAGCCUUGGAUAAAGAAGACCACUUCAUGGUACCAUCAGAUGGAGGCCCCUGACCUGAGGAAACCCUACUUCACCAUCGGCAGAACCAGCCCCCAAUAUUUCAAUGUAGGUUCUUUUCUAUUUUCCCUAAGUGUUGGCCUGUCUGAGAAACAAAGAGAAAGAGUACGAAAGAGAAAAAUUUUACAGCUGGGCCUCCGGGGGUGACAUCACAUGCCAGCAGGUUCCCUGAUGCCCCCAAGCUGCAAAACCAGCAAGUUUUUAUUAGGGAUUUCAAAAGGGGAGGAGUGUACGAAUAGGGAGUGGGUCACAGGGAUGACACAGUUCAAAUGGCAAUAAAAUAUCACAAGGGCAGAAGGGCAGAGCAAGGUCACAAGGCCAGGGCAAAAUUAGAAUUACUAAUGAGGUUCCAUGUCCCCCUGUGCACACAUUGUCAUUGAUAAACAUCUUAACAGGAAACAGGGUUCAAGAGCAGACAACCGGUCUGACUAGAAUUUGCCAGGCUGGAAUUUCCUAAUCCUAGCAAGCCUGAGGGCGCUGCAGGAAACCAGGGCGUA